UUGGUAAAUUUGACGGUGAGGUCUUCUCUGUUUUGAGCUGGGAUUUGGCAGAGGUACUACUGGGUUGUUGCUGCUGGUCUUGAAGCUUUGUGUUGCUCUCUUGUGGUUGUGUUCUUGUGUUGGAGAUAGCUUUUGUAGCUGAGUCUCUGUUCUGUUCAGGUUGUUGAACAGGGAGGACGUGGUUGUACUCACAUACAUUUAUAUAGUGGAUUGUUGAGUGGACUACGGUCCCGUGGUUUUUUUCUUCUCACAUCGAGUAGGUUUUCUACGUAAAAAGUGUUUGUCUCAUUUAGUUAUUGCUUAUACUAUAUCCUGCUAUCUUCGAAGUAUUUUCCUCUCAGAUUCUCACAAGGUCAGGGGGAACACGAUAGUACAUUCCGCUGCACUGUGUGUUUUAACCCCAUCAAAGUGGUAUCAGAGCUUUUGGUUUUAGAGCUUUGGGGUUGAUAACUUCGGGUUAUGGUUGCUUGUGAGAAUGAUGGAAAAUACGAGCAGGGUGAUAAGCUUGAAUGGUGCUAAAUAUCAUCUAUGGAAGGGUAAGAUGGAGGAUUUUCUCUUUGUUAAAGAAUUCCAUUUUCAAGUCUUCGAGGAGAAGAAAUCUGAGAAGAAGACGGAUAAAGAGUGGAAGCUUCUGCAUCGCCAAGUGUGUGGGUUGAUAAGGCAGUGGGUAGAUGAUAAUGUGUUGCAUCAUAUUGAGACUGAGACGGAUGCUCGUUCUUUGUGGAAGAAGCUGGAGCAGUUGUAUGCAAGGAAGACCGGAAACAACAAGAUGUACAUGAUCAAGAAGUUGAUUGAGCUGAGGUAUCAGGAGGAAACUCCGAUGACGGGUCACUUGAAUCGUUUUAGGGAUUGCUCAACAAGCUGUCUGAUAUGGGCAUCAAGUUUGAUGAUGAGAUUCACGGUCUAUGGCUUCUCGGUACUUUACUGGAUUCUUGAGAGGUUUUUAGGAUGUCUCUUUGUAACUCCGUGUCGGAAGGUGUUAUUUCGAUGGAUUCAGUGAAGAACAGUGUUCUUAAUGAGGAAGCAAGAAGACAGUCGAACGCUAGCAGUUCGUGUUCAGAUGUCUUUGUUACUGAGUCAAGGGGGAGGAGUUCGAGUAGAGAUCCCAGAGAGACAAGAACAGGAGCAGGAGAAAAUCUAAUAAAUUUGCUAACAUGGAGUGCUAUUUCUGUCACAAGAAAGGGCACAUGAAGAAGGAUUGUUGGAAGUUGAAAAACAAGCAGCAAGGAAAUCAAGAAGAAAAAGUGGAUCGGGUGACUGUCACCGAAGAUCAGUUUUUCAUUCUUCUUGAGGGUGAUGCCAUUAAUGUUGCAUGCCAAAACACCAGUUGGGUGAUUGAUAGUGGAGCUACUACUCAUGCAACAUCACAGCGGGAUUUGUUUUCUACCUAUACUACGGGUAAUUAUGGUUCCGUGAAGAUGGGAAAUGAUGCAAUGGCUCAGGUUGCUGGCAUUGGCGAUAUAUGCUUGGAGACUAGUCUUGGGACUAGGUUGAUGCUUAAGGAUGUUAAGCAUGUCCCUGAUAUUAGGAUGAAUCUGAUAUCAACGGGAAGGCUUGAUGAUGAGGGUUAUUUCAGUUUGCACGGUGGUGGUAAAUGGAAGCUCUCUCGCGGUGCUUUGAUUGUGGCUCGAGGUGAGAAAUCCUCAUCCUUCUAUUAGAUGCAGGCUAAGGUCUCCAAAGACGCUGUUAAUGCGGUGGAGAAUGAUGGUGCCAUGGAGUUAUGGCAUAAGAGACUCGGUCACAUGAGUGAGAAGGGAAUGUCUGUGUUGUCUAAGAAUGAGGUGAUUCCAGGAAUCUGUGGUUUGCACCUGCAGAAGUGAUCGCAUUGCUUUGCGGGAAAACAACACAAGGUGUCUUUCAAGUCUUAUGCGCCUUCUAGGAAACCCGAGGUACUCGAUUUGGUACAUUCAGAUGUGUGUGGUCCAAUGAAGACAAGAUCCAUUUGCGGCGCAUCAUAUUUUGUGACUUUCAUUGAUGAUCAUUCAAGGAAGUUGUGGUUAUUUCCUAUGAGGACGAAGGAUCAGGUGCUGGGAUAUUUCAACCAUUUUGUGGCGUUGGUAGAGAGACAAACGGGAAAGAAGCUGAAGUGUAUCCGCAGUGAUAAUUGUGGAGAGUAUUCUGGACCAUUUGAUGCUUAUUGUAAAGAGCAUGGAAUAAGACAUCAGUUCACGCCACCAUGAUGAUCUAAUUAGGAUUUAGUACUCCCGGUGAAGAAACCCGUGAGAAAGCUGUUGCUGAUUCCAAGCGGAUCGAUUAUCUCUGCAGUCAUCUAUGUUUUCUCCGCAAGGUCAUCAGGGAGAAGGGUGUCAACAUAAAAGGAUACUUUGCAUGGGCUCUUGGAGAUAAUUAUGAAUUCUGCAAAGGUUUUACCGUUAGAUUCGGACUUAGUUACGUUAACUGGACAGACCUCAAUGAUAGAAAUCUCAAAAAAUCUGGCAAAUGGUACCAAAGCUUUAUUAACGGUACCACUAAGAACCCUGCCAAACAAGAUUUCUGCCCCCCAAACCUCUCCUUCCAGAACCAGAAGAAGAAGCUCUCAGAUGCAUGAAACACUUUAUCCCACCAUCAUGAUCAUCUUCAUAUCUCUACUACUUGCUUCAUAGAUAAGGGGCUUGUUGUACUAAAUAAAUAUUCCAAUAAAAGAUGAUCAUUUUUACUAAUGAAUAUUUUAGUUUAAGUUCAA